rnacentral:rRNA from 1 species
CAGCAUGGUCUUAGCUUGCUAAGACUGAUGGCGACCGGCGCACGGGUGAGUAACACGUAUCCAACCUGCCGUCUACUCUUGGACAGCCUUCUGAAAGGAAGAUUAAUACAAGAUGGCAUCAUGAGUCCGCAUGUUCACAUGAUUAAAGGUAUUCCGGUAGACGAUGGGGAUGCGUUCCAUUAGAUAGUAGGCGGGGUAACGGCCCACCUAGUCUUCGAUGGAUAGGGGUUCUGAGAGGAAGGUCCCCCACAUUGGAACUGAGACACGGUCCAAACUCCUACGGGAGGCAGCAGUGAGGAAUAUUGGUCAAUGGGCGAGAGCCUGAACCAGCCAAGUAGCGUGAAGGAUGACUGCCCUAUGGGUUGUAAACUUCUUUUAUAAAGGAAUAAAGUCGGGUAUGUAUACCCGUUUGCAUGUACUUUAUGAAUAAGGAUCGGCUAACUCCGUGCCAGCAGCCGCGGUAAUACGGAGGAUCCGAGCGUUAUCCGGAUUUAUUGGGUUUAAAGGGAGCGUAGAUGGAUGUUUAAGUCAGUUGUGAGAGUUUGCGGCUCAACCGUAAAAUUGCAGUUGAUACUGGAUAUCUUGAGUGCAGUUGAGGCAGGCGGAAUUCGUGGUGUAGCGGUGAAAUGCUUAGAUAUCACGAAGAACUCCGAUUGCGAAGGCAGCCUGCUAAGCUGCAACUGACAUUGAGGCUCGAAAG